rnacentral:tRNA from 1 species
AAUAGGAAAGGCUAUGAGUAAGCCAGCAGAUUCAUGCUCUGAGGAAACCUAAAUGGUUCUUUCUUUUA